GUCUAUGGCCAUGCCACCCUGAACAAGCCUGAUGUCUGAUCUUGAAAGCUAAGCAGGGUUGGGCCUGGUUAGUACUUGGGUGGGAAACCACCAAGAACACCAGGUGCCGUAGGCA
rnacentral:rRNA from 1 species